CUAACCCCUCACAAUACUUACUAUUUUUUUCUUGACAAGUAACUAAUUAAUUUGCUUAAUGGAACUACAUGGCAUGAUCUGUCUGUUUCAUCAUACCCAAAUAUAUCAACAAUGUUUGAAUAUUUCUUUUUUUUCUAUUUUACUCCCUUAUGUGCCUUUCCUUAUAUUGUAAAGCUGGAUGAUUAGAUACACUCCAUCCCUGCGUGUGAACCGCCAGAUCUGGAUUUUCUGGCUGUCUCCGUAGGUGUCCACAAACUAUCAAACAUACUGGGUCAACCUUUCUCCUCCUAUGGCUGAGCCUCUGCCCCUACACGGCUUCAAUACCUUGGAUUAGGGUCCCACACCCAAUUUGGGCAUGGAACACAUUGGUGUCCUAAUUAUUGGCAGGACUAGAGAUUGUUUUCUCCCCAUCUGGGGCGGCAGGUCAGCAUUCGUCUUCUUUAUGAAAGCAAACAAUUUGGGUUUAAAUACCUAAAUAUAUAUUAUUGUAUGUGGUUUUGUCUUACAUGCUAUGUUUUUUUAUCGUUGUUAGAGCUGGCUACCCACUACUGGUCUUAGUCCAACCCCUGAGGAAGCCUGUACUAGGCAAAAUAUAUUGGGUGACACCACCCUAAUUGACCAGCUAUGCACUUCUAUUGGGACCUCCAGCAACCCUAAAAUUCUAUGUUUGAUAUACUACAUAUGUUUUUAAGUUGUGUGUCAUGCGAUGUAUAAUUUCUCAUGAUAUUUUAAUAAAUUAUUAAAAUGUA